CCUACGGGAGGCAGCAGUGGGGAAUAUUGCACAAUGGGCGCAAGCCUGAUGCAGCCAUGCCGCGUGUAUGAAGAAGGCCUUCGGGUUGUAAAGUACUUUCAGCGGGGAGGAAGGGAGUAAAGUUAAUACCUUUGCUCAUUGACGUUACCCGCAGAAGAAGCACCGGCUAACUCCGUGCCAGCAGCCGCGGUAAUACGGAGGGUGCAAGCGUUAAUCGGAAUUACUGGGCGUAAAGCGCACGCAGGCGGUUUGUUAAGUCAGAUGUGAAAUCCCCGGGCUCAACCUGGGAACUGCAUCUGAUACUGGCAAGCUUGAGUCUCGUAGAGGGGGGUAGAAUUCCAGGUGUAGCGGUGAAAUGCGUAGAGAUCUGGAGGAAUACCGGUGCGAAGGCGGCCCCCUGGACGAAGACUGACGCUCAGGUGCGAAAGCGUGGGGAGCAAACAGGAUUAGGAUACCCUGGUAGUCCACGCCGUAAACGAUGUCGACUUGGAGGUUGUGCCCUUGAGGCGUGGCUUCCGGAGCUAACGCGUUAAGUCGACCGCCUGGGGAGUACGGCCGCAAGGUUAAAACUAGAAAGUAGUGGACGUGNGAGAGCGACGACGACGACGAGGAGGAGGAG
rnacentral:rRNA from 1 species